GGAUGGUUGGAUGGCAACCUUGCCAGCACCAGAAUCAUGUGUGGAGAUAUGAAUACGUUCUAAAAGACCUUAUAAUAAGAGACCAACUAUUACAGAAAUUAGCAGUAGCAGCGAUCUUCCUCCUUGGCUGUUGAUUUGGCAUUAUGAGGAGCAAAUCUGGUAUUUCGCUCAGAAAUUAUCUUCAUCUUUCUUCUCUUUUCCAUUUUAAUGGUGGAUCUUCUUCACGUAAGCUUCUUCAUCUCUCUCCUCUUUUCAUUUUCAAUUUCAAUUUCAGUUCCUCUCUUUUGAAUUCCCCCCCUUUUUACUUUCCAUCUAUUCUAUUUUCUUCCCGAUAUUACGCUUCUCAUUCUGUUCAUCUUCAUUUGGAUGACCCCAAAUUGUUUCUCAAAUUUGUUAGACAACAAUCCAAAUUAGGGUUUACUAAUGCUGAAAUCCCCCUUUCCCAUUUCCACCAUAUGAAAUCGAUGCGACCUCUUCCAUCUAUCAUUGAUUUCUGCAUGUCCAGUUAUUACCUCAGGCUCUCCUCCUUUUCAAGGAGAUGAAAAUCAAGGGAAUUUCCCCUAAUGUUAUCACCUAUACUACCUUAAUUCGAGGUAUGUGCACUUUGGGACAGCAGAAAGAGGCUCAACAAAUGCUGACUGAGAUGUUAAGGAACAACAUAACUCCUGACAUUCAGACCUACAACAUGUUGAUUGAUAUGUAUUGUAAAGAUGGCAAGGUUGGUCAAGCACGGGACAUUUUUGUUCACAUGACUGAGAGAGGAUUUGUUCCCAAUAUCAUCACUUACAAUGCUCUGUUAGAUGGAUACUGUUUACGUUGUGAGAUGGAUGAGGCAAAAAAACUUAUGGAUUUGAUGGUUGAAAAUGGUUGCAAACCUAAUGUAGUUACUUACAGCAGCUUAAUCAAUGGCUAUUGCAAGUCUAAAAAGAUUGACAAAGCUCUUGGUCUGCUCCAAGAGAUCCAUUUUAACGGAUUAGCCCCUGAUGUUAUCACGUACAACACUCUUAUAGAUGCUUUGUGCAAAGACAAUCAGCUCAAGCUUGCACACCAGUAUUUCAAGGAAAUGGAAGCUCAUGGACUAAAGCCAAAUGUAAUAACUUGGAAUUCAUUCCUUGACGGCAUGUGUAGGAAUGCACAAAUAGAUAAGGCAGUUGCAACAGUGAAGGAAAUGGAGAAUACUGGAAUGGUCCCUGAUAUUGUUACAUAUUGUACCCUAAUGGAUGGUCUGUGUGAAGCUAAUCGCCUUAGUGAAGCGAUACACAUCUUCUCCUUUCUCACAGCUAAAGGGCUGCAUGAUGUGCGUGCAUACACCAUAAUUAUAAAAGGGUUUUGUAAAGAAGGGUUGCUAGCAAAAGCCGAUGAAUUAUUGAAGAAUAUGGAGGACAAUAAAUGCUUUCCAAAUGAAUGCACCUUCAAUACAAUUAUUAGAGGAUUUAUAGAUGGAAAGGAUGCUAAGAGAGCUUUAGAGCUUGUCAGCUUAAUGAGAAACAAAGAGUUUGCUGCUGAUAAUCACACUAUAUCAUCAUUGGUGAGCUUACUCACUGAUCCUAAUAUUGGUGAUGCAGACAAGGAUUUGCUGAAAAAGUUUUUUGAGAACUGAGUGAACGAUGGUUAAAGCGGAGGUGGAAGGAGCGUUGAGUUAAGCAUAGAUGAUCAGCUGUGAAAGAGAUGUGAAAAUAGACAUCGUGAGUGAAAAUUGUAAAUUGGUACUAGGUUCAAGAACAGGGCAUUUAAGGUCAAUAACACCAGUCGUGUCAACUUUGCUAAGGGUAUAAUUUUACUAUUUUACAAGUAGGUUAAUUCCGUAUUAUACAAUGAAAUUAUUGCGCACAAGGAUCUACUCGUAGUUAGUUUUAAUCCAUUCACUUGCGAUGUGUUGAUUGAAUUUCCUUGGGUGUGUUUCAGCUUUCUGCAGAAUAACUACCCAUUGUGAUUUCAGUGUCAUUGAAGAUUUUGCUUCUUUGGGGGGG